ensembl:lncRNA
ACUAGUCUUUUAAAUGGCAUCAAACCAAGUUAAAAAAAUAUUUUUUUCUUUGUUAGUUAUCAAAGUUUUUAUACAGAUUUUAUAUAAAUAGUCUCUCUACAUUUUUACAUGAACCUUUUAUUUUAGGAUAGUUUUAGAUUUUAGAAAAGUUAUGAAGACAUUGCAGAGUUCCCAGAUACCCCACACCCAGUUUCCCCUAUUAGUAAUCUCUUACAUUAGUAUGGUGCAUUUGUCACAAUUAACAAACCAAUAAUGAUGUAUUAUUAUUGACUGAAGUCCAUACUUCAUUCAUAUUUCCUUAGCUUUCACCUAAUGUCCUUUUUCUGUUCCAGGAUCCCAUCCAGGACACCUCGUUACAUUUAGUCAUCACAUCUCUUUAGGCUCCUCUUGGCUGUGACAGUUUCUCAGUAGUUCCUUAUCUUUGAAGACUUUGACAGCUUUGGGGAGGGCCGGUCAGGGAUUAGUAAUGUCCCUCACUCAAGAGUUGUUUGGUGUUUCUUCUCAUGGGCUUAGGGUUUUGGGGGAGGAAGACCAGAGUGGUCAAGUGUCCUUCUCAUCGCAUCAUGUCAAGGGCACAUGCCAUCAACGUGACUUAUGACUGUUGAUGUUGACCUUGGUCACCAGACUGGUGGGUGGCUGUCAGGUUCUCCACUGUAAAGUGACUCUUUCCCCCCAUCCAUGCUGUCCUCUUUGGAGGAAAGUUACUGUGCACAGCCCACACUGAAGGGGCGGGAGUGACGCUGCCCCUCCGUGAGGGCAGAGAUCUACAUCAACUAUUUGGAAUUCCUCUGCAUGGGAGAUGUGCCUAUUUCCCCCACUAUUUUAUUUAUUCAAUCGUUUAUUAUAUCGGUAUGGAGUCAUGGAUAUUUAUUUUAUACUUUGGGUUUUAAUUCCAUACCACUUAAUUUUCUUGCUCAGGUUGUUCCAAUUUUGGCUGUUUUGUUCCUCCACACAUUUUUACACACACGUUGUUACAAUGAAAGGAUUUGUCAUCUUUUCGCCCACUCAUGUAUUCCUCCACCCGACACUGACUGAGCACCUUUGAGGAGUGAGAACUGAAGAUACAGAGAUGAGGCUGACUCCUCACUCUGCUUUCUCCCCCUAACUGAUCUGCUCCCUCCUGCCUUCCCCUCUGAUACUCCUUGCUCAGUGCUCUCUUUCUCCCAUCCCUCCUGGCCCCACUUUUCCCAGGGACCAUUCUUAUAGCUCCUGGAAUGGAAACUCUGUCCCCCGCUCAAACACUCCCAGGGCGAAAACACAUCAUUGACCCAUCAUGCCUGGGAGUGGGGUCCCUGUCUUGCCUGAGGCCCAGAGGGAGUCAGGUCUCUGGUCAGGCCUUCUUGGCCCUCUGACCAUUCACAGGCAGUGCACAGAGAGAAAGAAAGGAGGAACAGCCUCUUAUUUCCCCACAGUUUCUUCUUGGACAUUCUCCGAGCUUUCCCCAGCAACAAUGAAGGACUGUGAGAGAGGGAAAGGUGUGGAGUGAUGGAGAUGGGGAGAAGUUGGGCAAAGAGAACAACUGAGACAGGGCUGAGGUCUCCAGGCCCAGAGACAGACCCUGCAGCUGGUGGCCCCCCAUGCAGGCCUGGCUGCCCCUCCCUCCCCUCUGCCCACACAGCCCGCCGCUCAGGCCAAUGGCUUCCCCAGUCAAGGUGUUGCUCUUUCUCAGUUCUUCCAACUGAGAGAGGCUGGGAAACUGAGGCAGAAUCAGGCCCAGCUUCUGGUUUUCUCUCCCCAGAGGGCUCCCCUUUUCUCCACUCCUCCAUUGUCAAAAACAGGCUGGGGAUGACAUGGCUUGGGGAGCCCCACACCUGCUCCUGCCACCUGUCCUCCUGGUGCUCCUGGCCUCAGGUGAGAUGGAGGGGGUGAAGGAGAGGGUGGGGCAGGGAGCAGGGUGACUCUGUGACCAGAGGGCUGGCUUUGAAGACCGUGUUCUGGAUGUGGGCAUCAGAAGUUGCUCCCUGUCCCCUUUCCCUGGCCCUGGGAGAGGUGUGGCUGGGUCCGGCCAGGGCCCUGAACUGAGAGCUUGUUAUCCAGGUUCCUGGGGAAAGACAGUCAUGCCUGAAGAGUUUCAUGAAGUGGCGGGGCAGACACUCUCCGUGCAGUGGCAGUACCCUCUCGAGGGAGGGCCCUACAACAGGAGAACUCGGUGUCAGCAGACAUCUUCACAUGAGUGUACCUGAUCAGUCACCAGCUCCAAGCUCCCGACAGCAGCUCAGGACUCUUGACACAUGAUCUGGGAUGCAUUGGGUGCUGGCCUCUUCAUCAUCACCAUGAUUCAGCGGACGGAGGAGGACUUCGGGUCCUAAUGGUCUAGAAGCUACAACUCUUCCAGGAACUUGGUCACUAUUCUCAGAAACAUCAGCCUGGUCUUGUCUCCGGAAGAGCUCCUUUCUUAAGGAAAUGCCCCCUCCCUCCCAGGCCUGCGGGAAAUGUCACUCACCCACUUUGUGUGACUCCAUCACCCCAGAUCCUACCAGGUCUUCUGCUCUGAUCCAAGGGGAGCGGGGGCCCUGGUCUCCAGAGAUGGGCUCUCACCUCUUCUCCACUUUGCCAGUCCUGGCCCCAACUAGUAGGAAGCCCCAACCACUUUCCUGUGUGGACCCCCACCUCACUCCUACCAAGUACAGGUAGGUCUGGGGUCUCAGUGUGGGGAGGGAAGAAGGGUGGCCAUGCAGCUUGGGUUAACCUCUGAUUCAGGGAUGGGAGCACCGGGGGGCCCGGCUCUGAGGGCUGAGCUCCUGGGGCCUGGGCUGGUGGGAAGCUAUGUUCAGGGCUUACUGGGCUCAAGACCCAGGGAGAUAAAUGUGCACAAUCUGAUCAGAUCACAAAGAUAGCCAUGGAUGGGCUGGGUGUCCCAAGGGGCAUGCCUGUCCUGGAAGACCCUGGACCUGCAUGUCCCAGCUCUGCCCCUCGCUUCCCACCAACUUGGGGAGAAACUGCCCCCCUUAGGGCACAGUACCAGUCUGGACUUCAGCUGGCCUGAGGGACCCUAAGGAGCUGCUCUGUCCCCUCUCCACUUUCUCAAGGGUUUUUGGGGCCAAUCCUAUUCUCUGUUCUGGUCUCCCAGGCAGCCACUGUCUUCUUUGUGUCCUCCUUAGUUCUGAUCAUUUCUCCAGAGGGGACCUCUGGCCCAUCUUCCCUCAAUGGCUCUGAGCACAGGUAAGUCAGGAAUGUUACCAGGAGGGAGGGUCCUGGGAAGGGAUGGCCAGAUAGCUCAUGUGGCCUCAGAGUCAGGGAGAGGGGGACCCAUGGAUUCUUUCCAAGACGGUUGAGGCACAGAGUCCUGCAGAGGAGUUCCCAGGGCUCAGAUACAAAGUUGGGGAGAGAGGAAUGUGGAAGAGGGUACAGGCCAUUAAUUUGGGAGGAACUAUAGUAAAGACAGUUAGACACAGAUUUCUGGAAUGAGAACAAAUGGGACCAAAACAGUGUGGGAGCUGAAGCCUGUGCUGAAAUAUGUUGAAGGGUGAGGGGUGAGUGUGGAGAGAGUGACCACAGACUGCGGCAGAUGGUGGCUAGAGACAAAGCAAGAAAUAGGUGAGAGGAAACUUGCUUCUGCUCUUCACUCUUGCAGUCAUGGGCCUUGAGACUUCCAUGGCUUCUCCUUCACCACAGAAAUGGGCUGCAGCAGCCUAGAUCGCAGGUACUCUAGGGACCACGAGGCACAGCCAGAGCAGUGGGAUAUUGGUGAAGAUAGAUGGCCAGCUGCCCAUGGGCAUUUGCUCCCUAACCACUUCCUUCUCCAAACUCCAAGGCAGGUGGGUUACACACUAGGGAGGAUCUCCCAAUGAGUUUAAAGGUGAAACCCUGACCAGAGGAUGGGAACAGCAGCAAUGUGGGUACAUUAGGGGGUUCCCUUAUGCUCUGCGGCUUAUCCUCCCACAUAAAACUCACUAGAUAGAAGGAUUUAGCCUUCCCUUCUUCCACAUUACCUGUUACCAGACUGAGUAUACGAUCAUCUCAGGGGAAUCUGAAUUCACAAGCCAAAAUAACUUGGCAUCUUUGGAGAACUAUUAUCUUAAAAGAAUGACAACACACCAAAUAAUAGAAAUGAUCUGAAGCAGAACUAUGGGAACUGACAGUACAGUAAUUCCAAGUGAAUAUGAUCAGGAGAGCUAGAGGGGUGAGGGGAGACAGAAACCUGAAUCAAGAGAAGAACCAGUAAACAGAGCUAAAUGGUCAUACUAGUUGUGACAAAUAUUAUAGCUGAAAUAAAGACCAUCACACGUGAUAAAUAAAGGAUAGAUGUGGCUGGAGAGCAAACUGGAAGAGAGGUUGAGGAAUUCUCCCGGAAAGUUCCUGGAAAGCAAGAAGUGAUUAAAAAAUCAAAGAGAAGUGAAGAGACAUGGAAAAAUACAUCUACUAGCAUACGGUCAUUAAGAAUCCCUGUGGGAGAGGGGCCGGCCCCGUGGCCGAGUGGUUAAGUUUGCGCGCUCCACUGCAGGCGGCCCAGUGUUUCGUUGGUUCGAAUCCCAGGCACGGACAUGGCACUGCUUAUCAAACCACGCUGAGGUGGCGGCCCACAUGCCACAACUAGAAGGACCUACAACGAAGAAUAUACAACUAUGUACUGAGGGGCUUUGGGGAGAAAAAGGAAAAAAAUAAAAUCUUAAAAAAAAAAAAAAGAAUCCCUGUGGGAGAGAAAAGAUGGAAAGGAGAAAUAUUUGGAGAAAAAAUUAAUAUUGAUCUCUCAGAAUUGUAGAAAAAGAUCUCAGAUCAAAAAGACUUGUACAUUGUCAAGAGAGGUAAACAGGACACACACACACACAGCCCUAGCCCCAUUAUGUGAAAUGUAAGACAAUCAAAGACAAGAAGAUUUUCAGAUCACCUAUAAAAGAACAAG